rnacentral:rRNA from 1 species
AGUGAACGCUGGCGGCAGGCCUAACACAUGCAAGUCGAGCGGUAGCACAGAGAGCUUGCUCUCGGGUGACGAGCGGCGGACGGGUGAGCAAUGUCUGGGAAACUGCCUGAUGGAGGGGGAUAACUACUGGAAACGGUAGCUAAUACCGCAUAACGUCGCAAGACCAAAGUGGGGGACCUUCGGGCCUCAUGCCAUCAGAUGUGCCCAGAUGGGAUUAGCUAGUAGGUGGGGUAAUGGCUCACCUAGGCGACGAUCCCUAGCUGGUCUGAGAGGAUGACCAGCCACACUGGAGCUGAGACACGGUCAGACUCCUACGGGAGGCAGCAGUGGGGAAUAUUGCACAAGGGGCGCAAGCCUGAUGCAGCCAUGCCGCGUGUAUGAAGAAGGCCUUCGGGUUGUAAAGUACUUUCAGCGAGGAGGAAGGCGUUAAGGUUAAUAACCUUGGCGAUUGACGUUACUCGCAGAAGAAGCACCGGCUAACUCCGUGCCAGCCGCCGCGGUAA